rnacentral:tRNA from 4 species
GCCAGGGUAGCUCAAUGGUGGAGCAGAGUCUUCAUAAGGCUACGGCUGUGGGUCCGAAUCCCACCCCUGGUA